CCCCCUUGACCAAAGAACCGCUCUCACGCGUAUAUAUAUAUACUACGAACACCAUCAUAGAACACACAAAGCAUCCAUCAACCAAAAAGACAACACCGUCUAGAAGAAGAGGAUUAAUUAGCUAGCCAGUCAUUCGCCGCGGCACAUGCCAGGAACAACACAGUUUCUGUGCUUGGUCGUAGCUCUUCUGGUCUCCCUGUCAUGCAAUGCCAAGCACACGGAUCCUGACACGUACCGUGAAUCUAUGUGGGAAUCCAAGAGACAGGUGCAUGAUUUUGGUGGGCACAACUGCCAAAACACUUGCGUAAGAAAAAGCAUAGAUACUGACAUAUACUGUGAAUAUAUGUGGGAAUGCAACAAACCGGUGCAUGAUCAUGACCAGCGCAAGUGCCGAAACUUUUGCGUAAGCAUGGGCUACGACUACCUCAGGAGCUAUUGUGAGCACCACCCCUACCCGUACUGCUGUUGCCAUAAGUAAUCUGAAUUCGAUGACUUUGGGGUGAUAUCUGGAUGAUGAUGCUUGUCAUGUGCUACUUAUAAAGCUAUAGUUGUUUGUGUAUGUGUGUGUGUUGAUGUCAUCCCAUUGUAAUAACCAAAGCAGUUCAUCAUGAUUGUCCGUGGAAUAAGAUGAUUUCCCUGCAAAAAAGAAAGAAUAAAGAUGAGUAGUUUAAAU